rnacentral:rRNA from 1 species
AGUGAACGCUGGCGGUAGGCCUAACACAUGCAAGUCGAACGGCAGCACAGUAAGAGCUUGCUCUUACGGGUGGCGAGUGGCGGGCGGGUGAGGAAUACAUCGGAAUCUACUUUUUCGUGGGGGAUAACGUAGGGAAACUUACGCUAAUACCGCAUACGACCUACGGGUGAAAGCAGGGGAUCUUCGGACCUUGCGCGAUUGAAUGAGCCGAUGUCGGAUUAGCUAGUUGGCGGGGUAAAGGCCCACCAAGGCGACGAUCCGUAGCUGGUCUGAGAGGAUGAUCAGCCACACUGGAACUGAGACACGGUCCAGACUCCUACGGGAGGCAGCAGUGGGGAAUAUUCGACAAUGGGCGCAAGCCUGACCCAGCCAUACCGCGUGGGUGAAGAAGGCCUUCGGGUUGUAAAGCCCUUUUGUUGGGAAAGAAAAGCAGCAGGUUAAUACCCCGCUGUUCUGACGGUACCCAAAGAAUAAGCACCGGCUAACUUCGUG